UAAUUGGCCUUUUAAUGUCUUGUUGAUCCUUUUAUUCUCUUCCCUAUGCACUAUAAACACAAUAUUAUAGGAGUUUCCUUUUAAUCUUCUUUCUGAUUGCGCAGACAAACGUGGUCUAUUACAGAGGAAUAUCUCAUGCUUUACAUACCAUUAGCAAGGAGGAAGGAGUCUUUGGCCUUUAUAAAGGACUUGGGGCAACUUUGUUGGGGGUAGGCCCAAAUUUGGCUAUCAGCUUCUCAGUGUACGACACAGUAAGAUCUUAUUGGCACUAUCGCAGACCCGAUGACUCAACUGGUUUGGUCAGCCUUGCAUGUGGGAGUCUCUCUGGCAUUGCAUCAUCAACAGACUCCAUACUUGUGAUAAAAUAAAGUGAGGAUAAGAAUCCCAACUAUCGCAAAACUCUAACCAUCCACAUAGAAGCAGGUUGAAGUGCAGGCUUCUCUAAGGUAUCUAACAAGACUGACCCCUAGAGCCAGAGGUCCCAACAUGUUAAUAUUGGAAUACGGGCCUUUUUUGGCUCUGUUAUAGCUGGCUAAUUCUUGGUGAGUCAAGUUCUGCUGUUACCAAAUUGUGAGAGGUGUCCUCUUUGAGUUACAUUUCCUCUGGAUCUCGUGAGGCGACGAAUGCAGUUGGAAGGAGCUGGUGGUAGGGCUCUUGUUUAUAAGAUGGGUCUUUUUGGUACAUUCAGGCAUAUAAUCAGGACUGAAGGCCUGCGAGGUUUGUACCGAGGGAUUCUGAUUGAAUAUUACAAGGUUGUACCAGGUGUGGGUAUUGUCUUCAUGACAUAUGAAAAAUUGAACCAACUUCUCUCAAAUAUUCCUGAAAGUUGACUAGUUGGCAUCUGGCUAUCUAAAGAUAGGAUCCCUUAUUAAAUGGUGGUGUGCGUGAAUAGAUGAGAAGUGUUGAUAUUUAUGACCACCGUAGUGCCCUAUUUAUUGUGGUUGAUUUGAUUACCAUGAAUCUAUAUAUGGGGAAAACAUCCUAUACUAAUGUACCAAAUAUGUUAUUGACAUAUGAACUAGAUUUCUGAAGGAUCUAUUCCAUUUUGUUAAUGACCCUAGAUGUCAAGAAUCUAGGGAUGACAAUGUAGAUGUAUUUGUUUCGGGGGGUCAGCUUGACACCGGUGUGGUGCCUAACUUGUGACUCUCCGACGAUCUAGCAAUGUACUUUGAUGAUUAUGUUUAAUAUGAAAGUGAUUAAACAUUUUGGCCAA